UUGCCCUUUGCACGGUGGUUAUAACAGAAAUGAUAACAACGCCUUAAGACGUGGCACACCUAAACAAAGGGCAAUU
rnacentral:ncRNA from 1 species